UCACAGACCAAGUUCUCCUACAUCUGAACAUGGAGUUGUAACUCUGGUCAUCAGUUCUAGAGACAACGAAACAAGGAAUAGGGUUUCCCCUUAAGUUGCGGUGUACAAAGCUGAAAAUUCCACAAGAAAUUGCUUUGAUAAUUUUAAAGAUGAUCAUAAGGAUAAGUAUUUGAUUUAAGUACCUUUGCUUGACCCAGCAGUGAAGAUCAUUCUUAUUUAUUUCGAUCUUGAAUCGCACAUAAGUCGACUAAUUGAAAGCAAAUA